GUGUCUGACAGAUUGUACAGAACCGACAAAGAAAUUUCUGCUGACAGGGACUGUGUUGUAGCACCUUCACAAAAUGGAAAAGUAUCCCCAGAAGAAACCAUCUGGGAAACCUUCAAAGACUCAGAUAAGAAGAACACAAGGAAACUUCAAUGUGCAGAGGAACUUGGGCCUUCUUGCUGAUGAUGGUAAUGAGGUAUUGGGAGUUCUUUCAAUGUCCUGUCAAGACCAGCAGUCAAACCUGCUCCGUUCUGCAGGUAGAUUGAGCUCUGGGAGCACUGGCAAGCACUUGAUCCUGAAACAGAGGAAUCUUAACAAUGAAGAGGAAUGGCCAGCAACUCACAGCCAUUACAUGAUGAAAAGCAGCCGACCUGGAAAAGCAACUCAUCAGGACCUGGUGCACAGUAUGAAACCAAUUCGGUUUAGCAGAGAUAACAGUGAUCUCAGUUGCAAAGGCUAUGCAUCCGCCUGCAGUAAUACUUACAGCUCAGUUACCAAAGAUGAUCUGCAUUAUGCAUUCAAGCCUGAGAAACAGAAAGAUAUGAGCCUGCAGCAUUUGGUGACAGAAUCUGCUUUUCGUGCAAAUAAGAUGCUGGUUCAAAGCAAUGUUCAAAUCUGCAAAGCUCAUGAAAAGCCUUCUGUUUUAACUAGUGAUGUCAUUUUUAAUCCAGAGUGUUCUGAGCUUUCAAGUCAGGAAGAGCCAUGUUUUAAUAGAGGAACAGAGAACCCUUGUAAUUUAAAUGAUUACAGUCCUGCUUGUCAGAAACUGGCAUCUGAACAUUUUUCCACAUUUCAAAAUGUCCUUGAUUCAUCUUGGACUUCUGCAAGCAUGAAGAUGUCAAUGCUGGACCUUAGGAAAAGUGAAGAUUUGCUAGCAUCUGAAUCAGCAGAACGACAGCCACCUAGUUCCUGUACAGCUUUUUCUUCUUCUAGUGAUUCUGGUGAUGGAACCGAGAAUAAAGGACUUCAUAACACACCAAAAAAUAUAUCAUGUUAUUUUGUUCAAAGAGGAAGAAGUUGUUUCACAUGCAAACUGGCUUCCAAGUCAGAUAAAACUAUAUCCAUAAACAAGAAAGUCCAUGAAAGCCAUCACUUUUACCCAGAGAAUAUCAAGAUGUCUUCACAUUUUUGUGGUGAUGAUUCUGCAGAGCUGUCCAGUUGCCCACAUGCUACCAUUGCAGAAUCACUACCUGUGGCAGUGGAGAGCUCAAAAAGUCAGAAAGGAGGCACAAAAGUUCUGUGUUCAGGGCUUAGAAGAGAGCUCACCUCGGCUGAAAACCUUGGUCUAAAAGAAGUAAGGUAUCCAUCAUCUGUCUGUCAAGGCUUCAGUCAUUUUAAGAGUACAGGAAAGGAACUGGUUUCUUUAGAUCCCAUACAACUUCAGAGCACUUUCGAUACCGCUGAUUCAAGUUCAUGUAUAAAUGUGGAGAUGGAAAAAUAUUCAUUUUGGGCGCACAGCAUAACAGACAACACUGAGGUCUCCAAAUGUGAUUCGCUGAUGGACAGUCUUCACCUAAUUAAAGAAAGCUAUAACUUAAUACAGGAGGUGACUGGUGAGUCUGACACAAAGGUAGUAGGUAUAAAGAGAAAUCAUCAACAGUUAGGCUGCCUGCAGGGUAUUGGAAAUUGUGAUUUUACAACAGAAAAUAGUCACACUAAACAUAAAAGAAUCAAAUGUCGGGUUAAUGUAGCUGAUAUGUGUUCUACUGAAGAGGAACAACCGUCUUCGUUUCCACAAUUUCUUCCCGUGCAUGGAUUUAAAGAAAGCAUUUGUUCUAGCAGAGGUGGAACCAAGCACUACAAGAGGAGUGUAGGUGUUGCAGAAAUAAAACCCCUGUCAGCAAGUCAUAGGAGCAAGUUAUCUAAGCAGCCUUCUGAUCCAGUGAAGAUAUAUAGCUGUGGCCCUGUUGUGGCAGCAAAAGGAAGACACCAGCUUCUAGCCAAGUGUUUUGAGACGUGGGUGCAACGUGUGAGACAGAACGCUACAGCAAGGCUUGAACACAAGAAACAGCUGCUGCAUUGGCAGGGGCUGGCAGGGGCUGUCCAAGUACCGCACUUGCAGUAUGACAACGUUUCAAAAAGAAAGAGAGCUGGGAUGUUAUCUCAGUGCUUUAAUCAUUGGAAAGAAGCUUUUGCACGCAGACACAUUUUUCUCAAAAAGACCACUCCUGACAUUGAUUUGAACGUGGAGGCUUUAAGAAGACGCCUUGUUCGACCCAGUAAUGAGCUCAUUUUAAGAUCUGCUUAUUGCCCACGGAGGAGGAACAUCACAUGCCUGCACAUACCCAGGGCUGCUGAGAUACACUAUAACUUGACACUGCUGUGCAAGCACUGGGCCAUCUGGAGACAGCUCAAGAUAAAGAAGAAUGCAAGAAGACAACAGGAGCAGGCCUUCUUUUGUAUGGAACACACUCUGAAGAAGAAGGUCUUUAUGGCCUGGAGCACAGCUGUGUACAAAACACGGCUUGCCAAAAAAUGUUUUAGGGACCAUACAGUAUCUGCUGUGUUCAAAGCUUGGAGUAUGCAGGUGCAAUAUAUUAAGUGUGAGAGACAGCAGAAAGGUUUUCUGACCUCCCAGUUUCAGAGAUCUUGCCUUCUGAAACAAAGCUUUCAUCAUUGGAGAUCCAGACUAGGAGUCUAUCAAAGUGAACAGGAGAAAAUACAAGAAAUAGUCAGGAUGGCAGCUCAGCGUUGGCGACAGGCUGCACAUAAGAAGAAGCUUGAGGGCCUGUGCUCUAGAGCAACACAGGUGCUUUACAGAAGGAGACAAGCAAGUAGGUGGAGUCGAGCCAGCAUGGGUGAUAUGUGAUCCAUACAAGGAGAAAGCCUUAGUAUCACUGUAAAAAAAGUUGUUAUGCAAAAUUGUUCCUCUUAUGUGCUAAAUUAUAGGUAUGUUCUGGGCUUCAGUCAUGCUGCUGUCAAGCUCCUAAUUUGCUUUUUUAAGGGAUAAUAAAAGACCCAAGUCCAGUCAACUGUUAAAUGUGAUAAAUGUAACUGCCUUUUUAGUUGCCUUCAGGACUUGGCAUGAACUCAAGGCCUCUGUCGAUUUGGAGAGAAGCAGCGUGAUGAUUGUGCGCCAUCUGCUGGAUGAGAGAAAGCUGAAGGCUGCAUUUGCCUCCUGGCACAGGUUCAGUUUACAAAGAAGAGGAGCGCAGCUGUUCUGUGAGAAAGCACAAAAAAGACAAUUGCUGUGGUGUGUUUGCAAGCUUAAUUUCACAAUUAAUCUCUGCAGCCUCAUUCUGUGUCCCAAUGCUGUUUGCCUUUGAGGAAGUCCGGUGCUUAAUGGGUAAUUCUGGGCAUAUAAACUGAGAGCUUCCUUACUGUCUCAGAAAUCAAUACUUGUCUAUUGAAAAGUCAAACAAAAUUAACUUGUAAUUUCAAUAUGCAUGGACAUUUCGAUUAGCCAUACUAAUAGCUUAGCUCCAGUGUGACUCCUGCUGAAUGUUUUAUGUUGAUCAAUGAUCUGCAAAACAAAAAUUAUAGAUGGGAUAAAUUUUAAAUGAAACUUAAACAUAAUGUUGGAAAUGUUUCACAGUACUGCAUUUAAAAACAACCACUACAAUAAAAAUAAAAGCUU
ensembl:lincRNA